rnacentral:rRNA from 1 species
CAGGUUUACCUGUGUGACUGCGUACCUUUUGUAUAAUGGGUCAGCGACUUAUAUUCUGUAGCAAGGUUAACCGUAUAGGGGAGCCGUAGGGAAACCGAGUCUUAACCGGGCGUUAAGUUGCAGGGUAUAGACCCGAAACCCGGUGAUCUAGCCAUGGGCAGGUUGAAGGUUGGGUAACACUAACUGGAGGACCGAACCGACUAAUGUUGAAAAAUUAGCGGAUGACCUGUGGCUGGGGGUGAAAGGCCAAUCAAACCGGGAGAUAGCUGGUUCUCCCCGAAAGCUAUUUAGGUAGCGCCUCGUGAAUUCAUCUCCGGGGGUAGAGCACUGUUUCGGCUAGGGGGCCAUCCCGGCUUACCAACCCGAUGCAAACUGCGAAUACCGGAGAAUGUUAUCACGGGAGACACACGGCGGGUGCUAACGUCCGUCGUGAAGAGGGAAACAACCCAGACCGCCAGCUAAGGUCCCAAAGUCAUGGUUAAGUGGGAAACGAUGUGGGAAGGCCCAGACAGCCAGGAUGUUGGCUUAGAAGCAGCCAUCAUUUAAAGAAAGCGUAAUAGCUCACUGGUCGAGUCGGCCUGCGCGGAAGAUGUAACGGGGCUAAACCAUGCACCGAAGCUGCGGCAGCGACGCUGAUGCGUUGUUGGGUAGGGGAGCGUUCUGUAAGCCUGCGAAGGUGGCCUGUGAGGGUUGCUGGAGGUAUCAGAAGUGCGAAUGCUGACAUAAGUAACGAUAAAGCGGGUGAAAAGCCCGCUCGCCGGAAGACCAAGGGUUCCUGUCCAACGUUAAUCGGGGCAGGGUGAGUCGACCCCUAAGGCGAGGCCGAAAGGCGUAGUCGAUGGGAAACGGGUUAAUAUUCCCGUACUUGGUGUUACUGCGAAGGGGGGACGGAGAAGGCUAUGUUGGCCGGGC